rnacentral:antisense_RNA from 1 species
UGUGGGAGCGGGCUUGCCCGCGAAAGCGGUGGAUAUGCCGACAUAUGUAUCGAAGGUGACGGCGUCAUCGCGGGCAAGCCCGCUCCCACA